rnacentral:rRNA from 1 species
UACGGAGGGGGUUAGCGUUGUUCGGAAUGACUGGGCGUAAAGCGCGCGUAGGCGGAUCAUCAAGUCGGGGGUGAAAUCCCGGGGCUCAACCCCGGAAUGGCCUUCGAGACUGGUGGUCUUGAGUUCGAGAGAGGUGAGUGGAAUUCCGAGUGUAGAGGUGAAAUUCGUAGAUAUUCGGAGGAACACCAGUGGCGAAGGCGGCUCACUGGCUCGACACUGACGCUGAGGUGCGAAAGCAUGGGGAGCAAACAGG